rnacentral:rRNA from 1 species
UGCAAGUCGAGUGCGCGGUUGUAGCAAUACAACUGGCGCACGGCGCACGGGUGCGUAACACGUGGGUAAUCUGCCCUCUGAUGGGGAAUAACUCGCCGAAAGGCGAGCUAAUACCGCAUAACAUUCCUUGGACUCCGGUUCGAGGACUCAAAGGCGUAAGUCGUCGGAGGUGGAGCCCGCGCACGAUUAGCUAGUUGGUAGGGUAAUGGCCUACCAAGGCUAUGAUCGUUAGCUGGUCUGAGAGGAUGGCCAGCCACACUGGAACUGAGACACGGUCCAGACUCCUACGGGAGGCAGCAGUGGGGAAUCUUGCGCAAUGGGCGAAAGCCUGACGCAGCGACGCCGCGUGGGGGAUGAAGCUUCUCGGAGUGUAAACCCCUUUCGACCGGGACGAAUACCUCGCAAGAGGGGUGACGGUACCGGUAUAAGAAGCCCCAGCUAACUACGUGCCAGCAGCCGCGGUAAGACGUAGGGGGCCAGCGUUGCUCGGAAUUACUGGGUGUAAAGGGUUCGUAGGCGGUGUGGCAAGUCGGGAGUGAAAUCUCUGGGCUUAACUCAGGGGCUGCUUCCGAAACUGCCGUGCUAGAGUGUGGGAGAGGCGCGUGGAAUUGCAGGUGUAGCGGUGAAAUGCGUAGAUAUCUGCAGGAACACCCGUGGCGAAAGCGGCGCGCUGGACCACUACUGACGCUGAGGAACGAAAGCUAGGGGAGCAAACAGGAUUAGAUACCCUGUAGUCCUAGCCCUAAACGAUCAGGACUUGGGGUGGCACCCGUUCGGGUGUCGUCCCGGAGCUAACGCGUUAAGUCCUGCACCUGGGGAGUACGGUCGCAAGACUGAAACUCAAAGGAAUUGACGGGGGCCCGCACAAGCGGUGGAACAUGUGGUUC